AGCAGCAGAAACCACCCUGUGACGAGAGCUGGCCUGGACACAGAGGAAAGCUGAGCCAAGACAGGGAGAGAGAAUGAGGUUUACUCUCCUCAUUCGAGCUGCGUGAUCCAACUGUAGGGGAAAGCAGCAUCCCUAGAGCUUCUCAUUACACACACCAAACACAUUCCCCCUUUUGCUGAAGUCACUUUAAGUUGGAUUUUGCUCACUUGCAACUGAGUGUGUUGACCAGCUCAAGAAUACAAGUAGGGAAACCAGAGAGUCAAUUACUCCACCUCCGCCUGGUCCAGGAGGAGCAACUGUGGCAAGUCCAGCAGGGUCACCCUCUCUAGCUGCUGGGAGCUGAGAUUUCCACUCCAGCUUCUUUGGCUGCCUUGGGGAAAUCAACGGAGUUUCCAGGAGUGUGAUGGGAAUGGUCAAGCUAUCUCCCGCCCAGCAAUAAAACCAGAUGUGGAAGCAGAUGGUGGUGACCAGGAGAGCAUUCAAGCUACAGGCAGAGACUCUCGUCCCACUCUCAACCCUUGUCUUAGAAUUACUGGACCAGAGGAAAACAGUCCCUUUAACUGAAAGCAGUGGAAGAACAGGCCAGGCCAGUGAGGUGGAAAAAGUUUCACGGUCGGUUGGACACACCUGCUGGAAUCCUGAUCCUUCACUUCCCAGCUGAGUGGAUGAUGUAAAACCACGGAUCCUCUUUGAUGCUCAAUUUCUUCCUCUGUGCAACGGGAAUGUCAAUCUCAGCCUUCCGAGUUGUUGUGUGAGAACAAGGUGGUAGACACUUUCUAGUGGGUCUGGUGCGUAGUAGGAGCACAAUGAAGGUGCUGGCUCUCAUGGCUUCUCUUUCUCCUGCCCUCCUCUUGACUUUCAGGUCCCCUGCUUGGCCUGUUUCACUGCCAAGUUCUAGGUCAUUUGAAACUGCAGAGGCCAGACCUUGGCCUUUAGGUCUCACUGAUCCUGUGGCCUUGGGCAAGUCCAUUUGCCUUUCUGGGCCUUGGUUUCCUCCUUUGGGAAAUGAGAGAGACUUGGGCAGGGUCCCUGGUCCCCAGCCUGGGGCUCUUCUAUCUCUGGGGUUAGAAGAAGGGAGGGCACUUUCUGGCAGCAAGG
rnacentral:lncRNA from 1 species